rnacentral:rRNA from 1 species
ACGGGAGGCAGCAGUGGGGAAUAUUGCACAAUGGGGGAAACCCUGAUGCAGCGACGCCGCGUGAGUGAAGAAGUAUUUCGGUAUGCAAAGCUCUAUCAGCAGGGAAGAAAAUGACGGUACCUGACUAAGAAGCCCCGGCUAACUACGUGCCAGCAGCCGCGGUAAUACGUAGGGGGCAAGCGUUAUCCGGAUUUACUGGGUGUAAAGGGAGCGUAGACGGUAAUGCAAGUCAGAAGUGAAAGCCCAGGGCUCAACCUUGGGACUGCUUUUGAAACUGUAAUACUAGAGUGCAGGAGAGGUAAGUGGAAUUCCUAGUGUAGCGGUGAAAUGCGUAGAUAUUAGGAGGAACACCAGUGGCGAAGGCGGCUUACUGGACUGUAACUGACGUUGAGGCUCGAAAGCGUGGGGAGCAAACAGGAUUAGAUACCCUGGUA